rnacentral:rRNA from 1 species
GGAAGCUUGCUGAAGUAGUUUGUUAGUAGCGGACGGGUGAGUAAUGCAUGAGGACCCGCCUUCCGGAGGGGGACAACAGUUGGAAACGGCUGCUAAUACCCCGUAUGCCGAGAGGUGAAAGGGAUGGAGACAUCCCGCCGGGAGAGGGACUCAUGUCCUAUCAGCUUGUUGGUGAGGUAACGGCUCACCAAGGCGACGACGGGUAGCCGGCCUGAGAGGGCGAACGGCCACACUGGAACUGAGAGACGGUCCAGACUCCUACGGGAGGCAGCAGUGGGGAAUAUUGGGCAAUGGGGGCAACCCUGACCCAGCGACGCCGCGUGAGGGAAGAAGGCCUUCGGGUCGUAAACCUCUUUUGUACGGGAAGAAGAAGAUGACGGUACCGUACGAAGAAGUCCCGGCUAACUACGUGCCAGCAGCC